UACGUAGGGUGCGAGCGUUAAUCGGAAUUACUGGGCGUAAAGCGUGCGCAGGCGGUUUUAUAAGCCAGAUGUGAAAGCCCCGGGCUCAACCUGGGGAUGGCAUUUGGGACUGUAAGGCUGGAGUAUGGCAGAGGAGACUAGAAUUCCUGGUGUAGCAGUGAAAUGCGUAGAUAUCAGGAGGAAUACCGAUGGCGAAGGCAGGUCUCUGGGCCAAUACUGACGCUCAUGCACGAAAGCGUGGGGAGCAAACAGG
rnacentral:rRNA from 1 species